CCUACGGGUGGCAGCAGUAGGGAAUAUUGCACAAUGGGGGAAACCCUGAUGCAGCAACGCCGCGUGGACGAUGAAGGUUUUCGGAUCGUAAACUCCUUUCGUUAGAGAAGAUAAUGACGGUAUCUGACGAAUAAGCACCGGCUAACUCCGUGCCAGCAGCCGCGGUAAUACGGAGGGUGCAAGCGUUACUCGGAAUCACUGGGCGUAAAGGGCGCGUAGGCGGGAUAGCAAGUCAGAUGUGAAAUCCUAUGGCUUAACCAUAGAACUGCAUUUGAAACUGUUAUUCUAGAGUGUGGGAGAGGUAAGUGGAAUUCUUGGUGUAGGGGUAAAAUCCGUAGAUAUCAGGAGGAAUACUCGUUGCGAAGGCGACCUGCUAGAACAUAACUGACGCUGAGGCGCGAAAGCGUGGGGAGCAAACAGGAUUAGAUACCCGAGUAGUC
rnacentral:rRNA from 1 species